CAGGUAAAGGGGCAGAGUCUAUAAAUAGGGAAGGGAAGAUCACCUGGUCCUUUCUUUCUGCAGUCACACACCUGAGGGAGCAGCUGAGGCCAGCCUUUGUUUGGUUCUUGAUUGGACUUCGUGGUGGUGAGGGUCCAAAGCUUGGAGUGAUUGUCCAAACACAUCAGCUAAAGCACAGAUCCCAGUCACCUGCAUGCCUUCAACAGCGGGAGGGGAAUGUGUUUCUAAGUCAAACAAGGUAUGAUAUUUGUUACAUUUGCUUAUGUUUCAUGAAAUGUUUCUUUUAAAGUGUUUUUGUAUCUUACUGUGUUUUUGUUUGUCUUGUUUCAAAUAGAAGUUAUUAGGAGAGCCAACCACUGUUUUCUCCCACCGUUUAGUUUUAUUGUGCUCACACUAGAUCCUUGAAUGGGCCAUAUUUUGUGUUUCUGGCUGUGUUAAAGGGGAAAACUGAAAGAUAGAGUAACCAUUUUGCAUGGGUGUUUUGUGUAAUUAGUGUGCAGCAUGCAGAUAGUGUUUUUCCAUAGUAUUUGGUUUAAUUGGUUUGAGUGUGUGGGUUAUUUCCUUAUUUGUUUAUCAGUUUGGCUAUAAUUUGUCGGUGCUCAAUUCUACAUCAGUUUCCCUGGUAACGCAGUCUAGUCCUGAAUUGUGUUUUU